GAUGAACGCUAGCGGUAGGCCUAACACAUGCAAGUCGAGGGGCAGCAUAGAGUAGCAAUACUUUGAUGGCGACCGGCGCACGGGUGAGUAACACGUAUGCAACCUACCUACAUCAGGGGAAUAACCCGGAGAAAUUCGGACUAAUACCGCAUAAAACAGGGAUGCCGCAUGGCAAUAUUUGUUAAAGAUUUAUCGGAUGUAGAUGGGCAUGCGUUCCAUUAGCUAGUUGGUGAGGUAACGGCUCACCAAGGCAACGAUGGAUAGGGGAACUGGGAGGUUUGUCCCCAACACGGGAACUGAGACACGGACCAGACCCCUACGGGAGGCAGCAGUGAGGAAUAUUGGUAAAUGGACGAGAGUCUGAACCAGCAAAAUCGCGUGAAGGAAGACUGCCCUACGGGUUGUAAACUUCUUUUGUACAGGAAUAAAAGAAUCUACGUGUAGAUUAUUGCAUGUACUGUACGAAUAAGAAUCGGCUAACUCCGUGCCAGCCGCCGCCGUAA
rnacentral:rRNA from 1 species